rnacentral:rRNA from 1 species
AGUUUGAUCCUGGCUCAGGACGAACGCUGGCGGCGUGCCUAAUACAUGCAAGUCGAGCGGAUCGAUGGGAGCUUGCUCCCUGAGAUCAGCGGCGGACGGGUGGGUAACACGUGGGUAACCUGCCUGUAAGACUGGGAUAACUCCGGGAAACCGGGGCUAAUACCGGAUAACACCUACCCCCGCAUGGGGGAAGGUUGAAAGGUGGCUUCGGCUAUCACUUACAGAUGGACCCGCGGCGCAUUAGCUAGUUGGUGAGGUAAUGGCUCACCAAGGCGACGAUGCGUAGCCGACCUGAGAGGGUGAUCGGCCACACUGGGACUGAGACACGGCCCAGACUCCUACGGGAGGCAGCAGUAGGGAAUCUUCCGCAAUGGACGAAAGUCUGACGGAGCAACGCCGCGUGAGUGAAGAAGGUUUUCGGAUCGUAAAACUCUGUUGUUAGGGAAGAACAAGUGCCGUUCGAAUAGGGCGGCGCCUUGACGGUACCUAACCAGAAAGCCACGGCUAACUACGUGCCAGCAGCCGCGGUAAUACGUAGGUGGCAAGCGUUGUCCGGAAUUAUUGGGCGUAAAGCGCGCGCAGGUGGUUUCUUAAGUCUGAUGUGAAAGCCCACGGCUCAACCGUGGAGGGUCAUUGGAAACUGGGGAACUUGAGUGCAGAAGAGGAAAGUGGAAUUCCAAGUGUAGCGGUGAAAUGCGUAGAUAUUUGGAGGAACACCAGUGGCGAAGGCGACUUUCUGGUCUGUAACUGACACUGAGGCGCGAAAGCGUGGGGAGCAAACAGGAUUAGAUAC